rnacentral:rRNA from 1 species
GACGAACGCUGGCGGCGUGCUUAACACAUGCAAGUCGAACGGAAAGGCCCUGCUUUUGUGGGGUGCUCGAGUGGCGAACGGUGAGUAACACGUGAGUAACCUGCCCUUGACUUUGGGAUAACUUCAGGAAACUGGGGCUAAUACCGGAUAGGAGCUCCUGCUGCAUGGUGGGGGUUGGAAAGUUUCGGCGGUUGGGGAUGGACUCGCGGCUUAUCAGCUUGUUGGUGGGGUAGUGGCUUACCAAGGCUUUGACGGGUAGCCGGCCUGAGAGGGUGACCGGCCACAUUGGGACUGAGAUACGGCCCAGACUCCUACGGGAGGCAGCAGUGGGGAAUAUUGCACAAUGGGCGGAAGCCUGAUGCAGCAACGCCGCGUGCGGGAUGACGGCCUCGGUGUAACGACUUACGUCCUCGUGACGAAGACGUGAGUGACGGUAAGUAGGGUAAAGG